rnacentral:rRNA from 1 species
UUUACGGAGAGUUUGAUCCUGGCUCAGGAUGAACGCUAGCGGUGUGCUUAAUGCAUGCAAGUCGAACGGGAUCCCAUGGAUUCGUCCAGGGUGAGAGUGGCGGACGGGUGAGUAACGCGUUGGUGACCUGCCUCGGAGAGGGGGACAACCAUUGGAAACGAUGGCUAAUACCCCGGAUGUUAUCGAGUUUAGAAAUCGAUAACUAAAGCUCUGGCGCUCCGAGAGGGGCCAGCGUCCCAUCAGCUUGUUGGUGAGGUAACGGCUCACCAAGGCUCAGACGGGUAGGGGGCGUGAGAGCGUGACCCCCCACACUGGUACUGAAACACGGACCAGAUACCUACGGGUAGCAGCAGCAAGGAAUAUUGCGCAAUGGGCGAAAGCCUGACGCAGCAACACCGCGUGGAGGAUGAAGGCUUUCGG